ensembl:lncRNA
GCACGGCUGAAGUCAAGUGAUGGCACCGUGGCGCUUCAGCUGAUUCUACCAGCAGACACUGAAAGAGCUCUGAUAGUUUGCCUUGGUCUGGAUCAUUGGGAACAUCUGCUCUGAUGGACUGAGAACUACAGUGAACAUGGACAUCCAGCUGUGGUUGUCUUAAGUCUUUUCUCCUUCAUCAUUGUGAGGAAGAGCAGCACUGAUGUCCUCCUCAUCCUUCCAGUAAUAACAAUAAUUCUGCAGAUUCAGCACCUCUUCAUAAUACAACUUGUGACUUCAGUAUUUACACUUCACUGUCAGCAACACGUUGUUUAUUUCAUCCAUUUAUUUCAUGUGUUUACACAUCUUUACAGUUCAC